rnacentral:lncRNA from 1 species
UGGCCGAAAUUACAAAAAAAAUAAUUAUUAUCUGGUUUGACUGUGAAACACUGAUUUCAGAUUUAUAUUGUACACAUAACUUUAAAAAUGGGAAUAAAACAUCCUUCUUUAAACGAUUUAUCGAUUACCACUGUGCCUGUAGUGAUAUAAUUAUAAAUAGAUUUCAGAACGCGGACGUGAUAGAAAGCCUAUUUAUUAAAUUGUUAAAAGACGUACGCCGGUAGGAAAUAAGAUGAGUAAACAAUGAUUAAUACCUUAGAUUUGCAUUAAGUUAGUUGCUUGAAUAUACAAAUAAUCAAACGAAAAAAGACUUCAAGUGUAGUUCUAUAAUAUUGAAGAUUCUUCUUCGUCUUUUAACAUUUGAGGCAUCUUGACAAAGAAUAAAGAACGCUGCAGCCAUGUUAGAUGGAUUAAUUUAUUUUCGUAGAAAAACUACGAUGGAGUUACGACUGGGUAUAGCUGUAGUAAGUUACGCCAGGAUUUACGCUUUAUUUACGAUCAUCUUAACUU